rnacentral:rRNA from 1 species
CGANCCCAGGUCAGGCGGGACUACCCGCUGAAUUUAAGCAUAUCAAUAAGC